UACGUAGGGGGCAAGCGUUGUCCGGAAUCAUUGGGCGUAAAGCGCGUGUAGGCGGUUCGGUAAGUCUGCUGUGAAAGUCCAGGGCUCAACCCUGGGAUGCCGGUGGAUACUGUCGGACUAGAGUACGGAAGAGGCGAGUGGAAUUCCCGGUGUAGCGGUGAAAUGCGCAGAUAUCGGGAGGAACACCGGUGGCGAAGGCGGUUCUCUGGGCCUGACCUGACGCUGAGGAGCGAAAGCGUGGGGAGCGAACAGG
rnacentral:rRNA from 1 species